UUCCACAGCUUUCUUGAACUUUCUUUUUCAUUUCCCUUAUUUUASAGCGAAAUUAAAUAACUAAAAAUCUCUAACAUUUAACACUCUASAAAAAAAAAGCUCAASAAAGCUGUGGGA
rnacentral:pre_miRNA from 1 species